UAUAGUCUUACCCCUAAGGUAACUUAG
rnacentral:autocatalytically_spliced_intron from 1 species